AUGGCCGCGGCGCCCCUCCCCCCGCGACAGCUCAGGCAGCGGUCAGAUCCGCCCUCCCUCCCUCCCUCACUCCUCGCACUGGAAGACCUAGCCGCUGGGCCAUGGUGACCGACGGCGAUGAUGACGGUGGUGGCUACCUCGACGAUGGAUAAAAUCCGCUCCGCCCCUCCUCUUAUCCGUCGACGACCGCUUGAAUCCCGAGAGGAGAGGAGAGGAGUGGGAGAUCCAUGGCGGCGGAAAGAUCCGCGCCUGGAUCGGACCUGCUCGUCAAGGAGACCCACGCCAUGGAGCUGCUCGUCAAUGUUCCACCCUGGCACACAUCCAACAUCGCCAUGGACCAGUAGCUCAAGCCGUCUUCUUCCAGAUGGUGAUGGGGUUCCCUCACCAUCUGCAGGUCAUCAUCCUUAAGGGCUCCACCAUCUGCAGGGUCUAACCACCUUGAUUUGAUUCGGGCUGGAGCAGCAGCAGCAGGUCCUUCCUUCCAUGGAGGGCAUCCACAACAUGACCCACACAAGGAGCUCCAAGCAGACAAAGGUACCUGCUCCAUUGUUGUACAUGUUCGUGAGUUCUU